rnacentral:lncRNA from 1 species
AUACAGACUUUUAAAAGUUGAGUUAAGGCAAUGAACUCAUAUCAAAAUGAACAUUGUCAUUAUUUUAAUAACAUCUUCAGCAUGUGGAAAGCUUGUAAGCAAAGGGACUUCACCUCCAAGUGUAAACUAUGCUGGCUUGUCUCUUUCUUUACUGUUGUUGAAUCAAACACACUCUUUACUUCCUAAUCAGGAACAUUGACAAUUG